CCACCCCAGGUCAAGCGGCAUUACCCGCUGAGUUUAAGCAUAUCAAUAAGUAGAGGAAAAGAAACUUA
rnacentral:rRNA from 1 species